AACGUGUCGCGAUGGAUGACUUGGCUUCCUAUUUCGUUGAAGAACGCAGUAAAGUGCGAUAAGUGGUAUCAUUCAAUUCGAAUCUUUGAACGCAAACGGCGCAUGGGAGAAGCUCUAUUGUGUCAUCCCCGUGCAUGCCAUAUUCUCAGUGUCGA
rnacentral:rRNA from 1 species